rnacentral:rRNA from 1 species
AUGGCGCAACCCGACGAGGGCAACGAGGCACUGGAUCGGGAGACCACCUCUCUGCCCACGGCUACUCCAAUCAGGCAAUUUCCGACGACUGAGACUAAUGGCCAGCCCUCGAUGAGAAGCACACCGGCGGCCUCUGCUCCAGAAUCCUCUCUGCCCACAGCUACUCCGACCAUGCAAUUGCCAAGAACUGAGACUAAUGGCCAGCCGAGAAUGAGCAACACACCAGUGAAUAAUCAAGACAUACAAGAUGCAGAUAAUACUCGAAGAGUUGGGAAGUGCUUUCAGUCUGAAGAAGAGGCGUACCAAUUUUACAAUUCUUAUGCUCAAACCAAGGGAUUUAGCAUUAGGAAGUGCCACUUGAAGUUUAGAGCAGAUGGGACUUUAAGUUCCAGAUAUUUUGUUUGUAGCAAGGCAGGUGUGAAAAAUGCUAAUCCAACACAUGUGGCCAAGAAAGAACAAGCUAUUUCGAGGACUAAUUGUAUGGCUCGAGUUCAAUUCCGCAUCAAUCAAGAGGGAAUUUGGACUGCUCAGAAAGUUACGCUCGACCACAAUCACCAGCUUGUAAGUCCAGAUAAGAGGCACAUGCUUAGAUCGCAGCGUCAACUCUUAGAUGCCGAUCGCCACAUGAUUAAGCAAAUGAGGGCAUCGGGAAUUAAACAAGCCGAAAUAUAUGAUUUUUGCGAGCUUUGGUAUGGUAAAGAUGCUAUACCCUUCUUGCAAAUGGAUUGCAACAAUUAUUUGCGAAGUGAGCGCUCAAAGUAUUUGGAAACCAAAGAUGCACAAACAUUAAUGGAGUAUCUAAAGAACAAGCAAGCUGAGGACCCUUCGUUUUUCUAUGCCAUGCAGUUAGAUGAUGAUGAUGGUACAAUAAUGAACAUCUUUUGGACCGAUGGACAAGCUAUCAUGGACUAUUCUGUCUUUGGAGAUGCCCUUUCCUUUGACAUCACAUUUUCAACAAAUAAAUUUCAAAUGCCAUUUGCUCCAUUUAUUGGUGUUAAUCAUCACAAGCAGACUAUUCUUUUUGGUGCAGCACUACUAUCUAAUGAAUCUGCAGAUACCUUUGAGUGGGUUUUUAGAACCUUUCUACAAGCUAUGUCUGGUAAGCAGCCUGAAACAAUAUUCACCGAUCAAUGUGCCGCCAUUAUAAAUGCUAUUGGAAGGGUUUUCCCAAGAACACGGCAUCGUCUUUGUUUAUGGCAUUUGUAUCAAAAUGCUGCAAAACAUCUAAGUCAAGUAAUCAGCGACAAUGAUAAUUUUCUUAAAGAAUUCAAAAGGUGUGUGUAUGAAGAUAGAUCACUGGCACAUUUUGAGAAUAGAUGGCAUGAGCUAUUGCUUAAGUAUCAGAUUGAGGAUAAUUCUUGGAUACCUGCUUGUUCUAAAUGCAUUGCUCGUCUUCGCCGGAAAGAAAAAUACGAAGACUACAAGUCACGCCAUAUGAUACCUGCUUGUUCUAAAUGUUGUAUGUAUAUUGUGCAACCCUUCUGA